CUUGAUGGCGACCGGCGCACGGGUGAGUAACACGUAUCCAACCUGCCGAUGACUCGGGGAUAGCCUUUCGAAAGAAAGAUUAAUACCCGAUGGCAUAGUUCUUCCGCAUGGUGGAACUAUUAAAGAAUUUCGGUCAUCGAUGGGGAUGCGUUCCAUUAGGUUGUUGGCGGGGUAACGGCCCACCAAGCCUUCGAUGGAUAGGGGUUCUGAGAGGAAGGUCCCCCACAUUGGAACUGAGACACGGUCCAAACUCCUACGGGAGGCAGCUG
rnacentral:rRNA from 1 species